GGUGAACGCUGGCGGCGUGCCUAACACAUGCAAGUCGAUCGGAGCAGCAAUGCUUAGAGGCGAACGGGUGAGGAAAACGUAGUAACCAACCCUUUAGACUGGGAUAGCCACUGGAAACGGUGGGUAAUACCGGAUAAGCUCGAGAGAGGAAAGGCAGAGAAGCGCUAAAGGACGGAACUGCGCCCCAUCAGAUAGUUGGUGAGGUAAAGGCUUACCAAGUCAAAGACGGGAAACCGACGUGAGAGCGUGUACGGUCACAAGGGCACUGAGAGACGGGCCCUACUCCUACGGGAGGCAGCAGUGGGGAAUAUUGGACAAUGGGCGCAAGCCUGAUCCAGCCAUGCCGCGUGAGUGAUGAAGGCCCUAGGGUUGUAAAGCUCUUUGUGCGGGAAGAUAAUGACGGUACCGCAAGAAUAAGCCCCGGCUAACUUCGUG
rnacentral:rRNA from 1 species